UUUUUUUCUUAAAAAAUAACCCUUUCUCUCCCCCUUCAACUCUCUCUCCCCUCAACUCCCUCUCUCUCCUUCGCCACUCAGUCCGUCCAGGCGUCUACCCUCGAUCCAUAAGAAAAUCCCUGAUGAACAAGAGUCUAGGCGUUCAAGCGUUCGCGUACAAGGAGGAGGACUUGAGGAAGAAGAGUUCCCUUCUCCUCCAGAUGAACCAAUUCACAAGAAAAUCCCCGUCCUCAUCCAUAAGGGAAAACCCAUCUCUGAGUCCCUCAUCAUCCUCCAGUACAUUGACGACAGCAAGAACAAGGCUCCCGGCCGCCUUCUCCUUUCCAAUCCCUAUGACAGAGCCCAGGCUCAAUUCUGGGCUGAUUACAUCUAUAGGAAGGUUGAACUUGACUAAUCUUCAAUCAGGCGGAGUAGGAAGCUCAAAGAUGUUGAUGAGGAGAAGCCGAGAAGAGACAGAAGGAGAAGAGGAAGUUGAAGCUGUUGCAAAUCUUGUGAUGCUCGAAGGAGAAGAGGAAGCUCGAAGCUCCUCCGCUCAAUCCGUUCAAUAGAGACAGUGAGAGAAGCCGGGUGCUCGAGAAGCUCGAAGCUGUUGAUGCUCGAAGGAGAAGAGGAAGCUCGAAUCGAAGCUCCUCUGCAGCAGAGGCUCUGCCCGUCGUGCUCGAUCUGUUCAACUUCAACAGAAACAGAGGUUCGUGAUUUCUCUACUCCCUCCCUUGCCCUAGUUUUAGCAUUCUCUUUUUCUUAUUUUCAUAUGUAUGCUAGUUUAAUUAUGUGUACGGUGUCACUCAAAAUAUUAUCGACGUUCCUUUUCUUGACCGUUUCUAAUUCUUUUCCACAAUUUUCAUUCACUAUAAUUUUGCUUUGUCAGCUCCAAACCUGGAAGCUGAUGUAGUAGGUAAUGUACUGAAUUCAGCCUUUCUUUGCUUUGAAUUUACUAAAUUAUUGGGCUC